GUAACUGAUAAAGGCUCUCUGACAGCUGAGGAGUUUGCCAAGCUGCUUGGUCUCUCUGUUCUUCUGUCUAAAGAAAGGUUGUUACUAGCAGAGAAGAUGGGUCACCUGUGUAGAGACGACUCUGUGGAAGGACUACGGUUCUACCCCAACCUUUUCAACAGUCAGGCUUGAUGUAAACCUGUCCAAAUAGUACCCUAGUCCCAGUAUAGUGCACUGCUUUUGACCAGGGGUCCAUAGGGUUUUAGUGCACUAUAUCGGUUCUACUAAAAACUCUUCUCCACUCAUGUCUGAUCUGAGGACAGCAUGUGUUGUGGGUUCAACGACUGGCAAACCAAAACCCACUUCGCAGUUGUACCGGGUAUACUACAAAGCAGGAUCAAUGAGUUGGCCAAACUAACUUGCCUAAAUAUUCUGGAAUUAUAUUCUCAACAUGAUUUUUUGUUUAGUUUUUUGAGAAAGAUACAUUUAAAAUGGACAUGGGUCUAAUAAUUUUAUUCAGAUAAUCUCUCAGUUUAACUUUCUUAACAAAUCAGAAAAUUCAAUAGAUAUUCCUGUUUGUUGCUUUUAAAGGUACCCGACCAACUAGUUGAUCCUGCAUUGUAGCAGAGCCCUCCGUAUCCAUGGCUACUGCGUUGUGUUGAUACAGUAGAAAAGAGAAGGGCGACGUUUACAUUUAAGUCAUUUAGCAGACGCUCUUAUCCAGAGCGACUUACAAAUUGGUGCAUUCACCUUAUGACGUCCAUCUAUCCCAGACCUCACCUUGCUAGCACAAAGGGUGUUGUUCCUACGACUGUUCUCUGGACUCUCUAGAGCCGUUUGGGCCUCAGAGCGCUGGAGGAAAGUCAAAUGUAUCAGAAUAUAUCUCGUCUCCUUAUAGUCCCAGACAACAAUAAUCUAGUAUAGAUGUAAAUGGUUAAUAAGGUAAAGUUUUUUUUUCCCAUGUUUUGGAUAAUAAGGUUAACGUUGUCUGUCUCGAUGCUUUCAGUUUGAUAUCAGGUCUGUAUCUGUCAUCAUCAACAAUGUACCUAGUGUUGGAUCUAGGUAACACUAUGGAGCUAAGUUGUAAAAUACCAAACUUCUCGUUUUAAUGUAAAGUGUGUUUACUGUUGAAACCUUUUACAGGUGGAACGUCUCAGUAAGUCUGAAACCUCCUUUUUGAAGAGAGUCUUAAAUAACUCUCACGUUGUACCCAUCACCCCAUGCUAUGUGUUCCUUUACAUGAUAAAGACUGUAUGUAA